UGCAGUCGAGCGGAACGGCAGUAUUGAAGCUUCGGUGGAUUUACUGGACGUCGAGCGGCGGACGGGUGAGUAACGGCUGGGAACCUGCCCUGACGAGGGGGAUAACCGUUGGAAACGACGGCUAAUACCGCAUAAUGUCUACGGACCAAAGGUGGCCUCUACAUGUAAGCUAUCGCGUUGGGAUGGGCCCAGUUAGGAUUAGCUAGUUGGUAAGGUAAUGGCUUACCAAGGCGACGAUCCUUAGCUGGUUUGAGAGGAUGAUCAGCCACACUGGGACUGAGACACGGCCCAGACUCCUACGGGAGGCAGCAGUGGGGAAUAUUGCACAAUGGGGGAGACCCUGAUGCAGCCAUGCCGCGUGUGUGAAGAAGGCCUUCGGGUUGUAAAGCACUUUCAGCAGUGAGGAAGGUGGUGUACUUAAUAGGUGCAUGGCUUGACGUUAGCUGCAGAAGAAGCACCGGCUAACUCCGUGCCAGCAGCCGCGGUAAUACGGAGGGUGCGAGCGUUAAUCGGAAUUACUGGGCGUAAAGCGCAUGCAGGCGGUUUGUUAAGUCAGAUGUGAAAGCCCGGGGCUCAACCUCGGAACCGCAUUUGAAACUGGCAGGCUAGAGUCUUGUAGAGGGGGGUAGAAUUUCAGGUGUANCGNUGAAAUGCGUAGAGAUCUGAAGGAAUACCAGUGGCGAAGGCGGCCCCCUGGACAAAGACUGACGCUCAGAUGCGAAAGCGUGGGUAGCAAACAGGAUUAGAUACCCUGGUAGUCCACGCCGUAAACGCUGUCUACUUGGAGGUUGAGGUUUAGA
rnacentral:rRNA from 1 species